rnacentral:rRNA from 1 species
UACGAAGGGGGCUAGCGUUGCUCGGAAUCACUGGGCGUAAAGCGCACGUAGGCGGAUUGUUAAGUCAGGGGUGAAAUCCUGGAGCUCAACUCCAGAACUGCCUUUGAUACUGGCGAUCUUGAGUCCGGGAGAGGUGAGUGGAACUGCGAGUGUAGAGGUGAAAUUCGUAGAUAUUCGCAAAGAACACCAGUGGCGAAGGGCGGCUCACUGGCCCGGUACUGACGCUGACGGUGCGAAAGCGUGGGGAGCAAAGCAGGG